rnacentral:lncRNA from 1 species
GCAUAUAGAGGUUCCCAGGCUAGGGGUCAAAUUGGAACUAUAGUUGCCAGCCUUCGCCACAGACACAGCAACAGUGGAUCUGAGCCAUGUCUGUGACUUACAUCACAGCUCACGGCAUUGCCGGAUCGCUGACUCAUUGAGCAAGGCCAGGGAUCGAACCCACAUCCUUGUGGAUACUAGUUGGAUUCAUUUCUUCUUCUCUAGGAUGGGAACUCCAUGGAGAUAGGAUCUUUAAAGAGGUUAAGUUAAAAUGAGGUCGUUAGUGUGGGCCCUAAGCUAGUAUAACUGGUGUCCUUAUAGAAGAGGAAAUAUGGUGAAUAGAGGGACAACCACGUGAAGAUGAAGGGAAGACGCUGUCUGUAAGCCAAGGAGAAGAAACCGAGCCUCAGAAGAAACCAUUUCUGCCAACACCUUGAUCUCAGAUUUCUAGCCUCCAGACCUGUGAGAAAGAGGCUUCCGUGGUUUAAGCCCAAGGUCGUGCGCUGUAGCAGCUCUAGCAAAUGAAUAUCACUGCUACCAGAACAGAGUGGUGAGAACCUUGGGAAUGCAGCGAGGAAGCAAGGGAGGAUAAAUGCCCUGGCUGCUCUUGGCUCCCACUGCGGAUUGGCUGCUGGUGAACACCCCCUCCUGCCCCCACCCAGAAACCAGCCAAUACAAGAGUCUGGGGGACUUCAUCUAUCAGGAUUGGCCGCUUAAGGCACAGGGAAAGGCAGAGAAGAACAGAGAAUAAUAGAUCUGGGGACAAAAAGUAGAAUAACCAGCACAUGCCAGAGAAAGCAUCAGAAUGGUCUCAUGAUCUCCAUGUACCCAUCACUCAGCCUCAACAAUUACCAACAUUUCCAUUAUUGCUUCAUCUAUACCUCCCCCCCACCUUUUUUCUGGAGUAUUUUAAAGAAAAUUCUAGGAAUCAGAACAAUUCACCCAAACAUAGGUCAAUAUGCAUCUGUACUAGAUAAGAACUUUAAAACAAUGACAGUGAUGCCUUAUCACACCUAAUAAAAUUAAUAAAAUUAAUGAAAAUUCCUUAACAGCACCAUCUCAUCCUAGUCUACAUGCAAACUUCCCUGUUGCCUCAAAACAGUCUUUAAUAGUUGGUUUGGUCCAAUCAGGAGAUGAAGUUCAUAUAUGACAAUUUUUUUUUGGAAAAAUUGGGUCCUUUGUCCUGUUGUAGAAACUCUCACAUUCGGGUUUGCCUGAUCACAUCAUUUGAUUGUUGUUUAACUUGUUCCUGUUUUCUGAAUAUCCCAUAAGCUGAUUGUUAGACUUGAAGGCUUGAUUGGGUUCAGGCUCCAUGGUUCAUGGGUUGUGCUUUCUCUUGCAUCACAUUACAAGAAGAGAAUAUCUUACUGUGAUGUGAGAAUGAUCACUGGGUUCAGACAUGUCAGCCUGAUCUCUCCACUGUCAAGUUCCCUAUCAACAUUUUAUUGUGUUAGAGAUGGAUGGAUGGAUGGAUGGAUGGAUGGAUAGAUAGAUAGAUAGAUAGAUAGAUGUAAAAGGAUUAAUUAUGAGGAAUUGGCUCACGUGAUUAUAGAGGCUGAGAAGUCCCAUGAUCUCCCAUCUGCAAGCUGGAGAUUAAAGAAGAGUCUACCAUGUCCAUCAACCUGAGUCCAAAGG